GGACCUCGUUGUGGUAGACGACAUAGAGAAGCUGUGGCAUGUCGAGAUGGAAGGUAAAGUCGUGGCUGCUCCCGAGUACUGCCACGCAAACUUCACCUAUUAUUUCACAAAAGCUUUCUGGUCAGACCCGGUAUUGGUCAAAGUACUCGAAGGGAAACGCCCGUGUUACUUCAACACAGGGGUGAUGGUCGUGGAUGUUAACAAAUGGAGGAAAGGAUCGUACACACAGAAGGUGGAAGAGUGGAUGACAAUUCAGAAGCAGAAGAGAAUAUACCACUUGGGAUCAUUGCCUCCGUUUCUGCUGAUAUUCGCGGGUGAUAUCAAAGCGGUUAACCAUAGGUGGAACCAGCACGGUCUAGGAGGGGAUAAUUUCGAAGGAAGAUGCAGAACGUUGCAUCCUGGUCCGAUAAGUCUUCUUCAUUGGAGCGGAAAAGGGAAGCCAUGGUUGAGACUAGAUUCAAGAAAGCCUUGUAUCGUUGAUCAUCUAUGGGCUCCAUAUGACCUAUACCGUUCGUCAAGACAUUCGUUAGAAGAGUAGAGGGCAAAAGAGAAAACAUUUUUAACCAUGGCACAUACAUACAUAUAUAUAUAAUAGGAGAGGAGAAGAUACAACAAAGCAGGGGUUUUUAGCGACGAUCAAAGAGAGCCAAACAUUUUCAUUACGAGUGAAAAAAAAGUGUAUUGUUAACACAUUGUGCAUUUGAGCUGAGAGUGUGUUCUUCAAGAGAUGGUACUAUCAUCAUCAUCAUCAUUCUUUUUUUCACUCUCUUUGACUUAACCUUUAGAAUAUUCCGCGUGUAAUAUACAUAGGUACAAAAAAAAAAUUGGAGGAUUAAAUUGAUCAUUCUUUUUUGUUCUAAUUCAAAAUCUCUCUAGUAUCUGAUACUAUAAACAGAGCAUCGAAAUCAUCUAUUCCUCUUUAGAAGUCAUCGAAAUUUCGAAACUUUAUCACAAAACAGAACGAUCCAACACAGACAGAAACAAGCUACACCGUUUCGAAUUCCGUGAUCGAAGUCAGCAUAACGACUACAGGAGGAAAAUUUACAGGAAUACACUAUUACCUGGAUAAGGCGAUAGACACGUCUAGAUUCUGCAGCGUUCGAGUGAAAAAAAGUGAUGGCUCUUCGAUACAGUAGUCAUAACCUUUUCUCUCUCUCUGCUCAGGUCGGGUUUGGACAGAAGAAGAUUUGGUUUGGUAUAUAUGUUCGGAAGAAACAUAGAUUCUCUGAUAGCCGGAUUCGAUUUGUAUUUUCCGGGGAAGAAUAAAUGUGUUUCCUUUUUG
rnacentral:lncRNA from 1 species